GAUGAACGUUGGCGGCGUGCCUAAUACAUGCAAGUCGAACGAAGACUGUAGUAAUACUGUCUUAGUGGCGAACGGGUGAGUAACGCGUGGGUGACCUGCCCCGAAGUGUGGGAUAACAGUUCGAAAGAACUGCUAAUACCGCAUAACAUCCAAGAGAUUAGAAGCUUUUGGAUUAAAGGAGUAAUUCGCUUCGGGAGGGGCCCGCGUCCCAUCAGCUAGUUGGUAAGGUAAUGGCUUACCAAGGCGAUGACGGGUAGGGGACCUGAGAGGGUGGCCCCCCACAAUGGAACUGAAACACGGUCCAUACACCUACGGGUGGCAGCAGUAGGGAAUAUUAGUAAUGGGCGAAAGCCUGAACUAGCAACGCCGCGUGUGCGAAGAAGGCCUUCGGUUGUAAAGACACUUUUUGUAGAGGAUGAGGAAGGACGGUACGUCUCAGAAUAAGUCUCGGCUAACUACGUG
rnacentral:rRNA from 1 species